CUCAAGGUCUAUACAAGAAAGCAGCUUGCUCUGGAACAAUGAAGAUCUGCACAGGAAAGCAGCUUGCUCUGGAACACUCAAGGUCUAUACAAGAAAGCAUCUUGCUCUGGAACACUAAGGGUCUGCACAGGAAAGCAGCUUGCUCUUGAACACUCAAGGUCUAUACAAGAAAGCAGCUUGCAAUGGAACAAUGAGGGUCUGCACAGG